rnacentral:lncRNA from 1 species
UGUUGAUGAAAUAUUUUGCAGAACAACACCUGAGUGCUGAGGGAGGCUGCUAGAUGUGCGCAUAAACACUUCACCACACAGCACCUGGUUUGGCAGCACUGCCAGGGCAUGCCAUGGAGAGAUCCAGCACUGACCCCAGAGCCUCUGGUCCCGUUUACCUGCGUUCCUCCUAAGAGUCUGCCAGUCUUCAUCCACAAAAUU